CUCGCUGCAGCCUGUCUGCCCACGCCACACUGUGCUCCCAGCCCGGUGUGAUACACCUUUCUGAUCAAUCAUCCAGAUUCUUCAAACAUCCAGACAAGCUUCCUGACAACCCUGAUGACAUCCAAUGGCGUCCACUUCACUACAAUGAUGCUGAAGUUGAAAAAUAGAAGCAGCUAGCAGUAUAAUGCAAAACAGGUCUCUGGGAUCUGGAUUACUCCUGAAGCAUGCACAUCAUUUUUGGAGGAGAUAUUUCUGUUGCCUCCUACAUUCAGGAAACAGCACAGAUUGAAAGAACUCCAACAAAUAGGAGCUGUUGUACAAACUGGACCUCUGGACUUCUCUCUCCAUGACUACCAACCACGUAAUCACAUCUACAUCAAGAAUUUAUAACCAACCAGUGGAAUUGAGCCUGCCUGGGAGGGACCAUUUCAAGUCCUACUGACUACUCCACUAACUAUCAAAUUAUGAAAAAGGACUCCUGUAUUCAUUGCUCAUACAUAAAACCUGUGCCGUUUUUGGGUCAAUAUUUUUAGGAGACCACCCAGAGGAGUUUCUUAAUAAGACUCUGUUAGACAUAAAGGAAUCACUUUGCCUUUAUGGGUGUGGGUAACUUUCAUCUUAACUUUCAUUCAUUAUC